rnacentral:sRNA from 1 species
GAGAACCUCCGGGGGCAGGAGGUUCGACUCGAGCGAAGCGAGAGAACGUUGCGUCAGCAACGGCCCGCAGGGCGAGCCACGA